rfam:Schistosoma margrebowiei strain Zambia genome assembly, scaffold: SMRZ_contig0000045
AUCCAGCUGACGAGUCUCAAAUAAAAUGAAACGAGCAUCCUGGAU